rnacentral:rRNA from 2 species
AAGCUUGCUUCUAUGACGUUAGCGGCGGACGGGUGAGUAACACGUGGGCAACCUGCCUGUAAGACUGGGAUAACUUCGGGAAACCGAAGCUAAUACCGGAUAGGAUCUUCUCCUUCAUGGGAGAUGAUUGAAAGAUGGUUUCGGCUAUCACUUACAGAUGGGCCCGCGGUGCAUUAGCUAGUUGGUGAGGUAACGGCUCACCAAGGCAACGAUGCAUAGCCGACCUGAGAGGGUGAUCGGCCACACUGGGACUGAGACACGGCCCAGACUCCUACGGGAGGCAGCAGUAGGGAAUCUUCCGCAAUGGACGAAAGUCUGACGGAGCAACGCCGCGUGAGUGAUGAAGGCUUUCGGGUCGUAAAACUCUGUUGUUAGGGAAGAACAAGUACGAGAGUAACUGCUCGUACCUUGACGGUACCUAACCAGAAAGCCACGGCUAACUACGUGCCAGCAGCCGCGGUAAUACGUAGGUGGCAAGCGUUAUCCGGAAUUAUUGGGCGUAAAGCGCGCGCAGGCGGUUUCUUAAGUCUGAUGUGAAAGCCCACGGCUCAACCGUGGAGGGUCAUUGGAAACUGGGGAACUUGAGUGCAGAAGAGAAAAGCGGAAUUCCACGUGUAGCGGUGAAAUGCGUAGAGAUGUGGAGGAACACCAGUGGCGA